CCUACGGGAGGCAGCAGUGGGGAAUAUUGCACAAUGGGGGAAACCCUGAUGCAGCAACGCCGCGUGAGUGAAGAAGUAUUUCGGUAUGUAAAGCUCUAUCAGCAGGGAAGAGAAUGACGGUACCUGACUAAGAAGCCCCGGCUAACUACGUGCCAGCAGCCGCGGUAAUACGUAGGGGGCGAGCGUUAUCCGGAUUUACUGGGUGUAAAGGGAGCGUAGACGGUUCUGCAAGUCUGAAGUGAAAGCCCGUGGCUUAACCGCGGAACGGCUUUGGAAACUGUGGAACUGGAGUGCUGGAGAGGCAAGCGGAAUUCCUAGUGUAGCGGUGAAAUGCGUAGAUAUCACGAAGAACCCCGAUUGCGAAGGCAGCCUGCCGCAGCGUUACUGACGCUGAAGCUCGAAAGCGCGGGUAUCGAACAGGAUUAGAUACCCUUGUAGUC
rnacentral:rRNA from 1 species